ACUGACAGCCAUGGUUACCGCGGCUGCUGGCACGGAGUUAGCCGGUGCUUCUUCUGUGAGUGAUGUCCUUCCUGCCGGCUAUUAACCCGCAGGCCUUCUUCCUCACUGAAAGUGCUUUACAACCCGAAGGCCUUCUUCACACACGCGGCAUGGCUGGAUCAGGGUUGCCCCCAUUGUCCAAUAUUCCCCACUGCUGCCUCCCGUAGGAGUCUGGGCCGUGUCUCAGUCCCAGUGUGGCUGAUCAUCCUCUCAGACCAGCUACGGAUCGUCGCCUUGGUGAGCCGUUACCUCACCAACCAGCUAAUCCGACAUAGGCUCAUCCGAUAGCGCGAGGCCCGAAGGUCCCCCGNUUUCCCCCGUAGGGCGUAUGCGGUAUUAGCCUGGGUUUCCCCAGGUUAUCCCCCAUACCGGGCAGAUUCCUAUGCAUUACUCACCCGUCCGCCGCUCGCCACCAGGGAGCAAGCUCCCCGUGCUGCCGCUCGACUUGCAUGUGUUAGGCCUGCCGCC
rnacentral:rRNA from 1 species